GGAGUCUGGGCCGUGUCUCAGUCCCAAUGUGGCUGGUCGUCCUCUCAGACCAGCUACUGAUCGUCGCCUUGGUGGGCCUUUGCCCCGCCAACUAGCUAAUCAGACAUCGGCCGCUCCUGUCGCGAGAGGUCUUGCGAUCCCCCUCUUUCACCCUCAGGUCUCAUGCGGUAUUAGCUGACCUUUCGGCCAGUUAUCCCCCACAACAGGACACGUUCCGAUGUGUUACUCACCCGUUCGCCACUCGCCGGCAGGAGCAAGCUCCCCCGCUGCCGUUCGACUUGCAUGUGUAAAGCAUGCCGCCAGCGUUCAAU
rnacentral:rRNA from 1 species